GACUAUCAGAUCCACCCCUGGUAGCAUUGUCAGAGCUGACUCCCCUAUGUGCACGGGAAUGCUCAUCAGCACUGCCUACUGCACCCCCAAGUCUGGGCAUACUGGAGUAUUGCUUUAAUAUUAAUCUUACAUGCAGUUUGGAAUGUAGGAUCCUUUUCUUACAGUCUCUGCGGUAUGACACCAGUUAUUUUGUGGAGUAUUUCGCACUGGAUCUUCUGAUGGAAAAUGGGGAGUGCCGUGGUGUCAUUGCACUGUGCAUAGAAGAUGGGUCCAUACACCGAAUAAGAGCAAAGAACACUAUUAUUGCUACUGGGUAGGAGUUUACUGUAUUUAAUUUUUUAUAUAAAAGUUGAGUGUCGGCAUGGGGGCAGAGUGUUUGGGGUUUUUGUUUUUUGUUUUUGUUUUGUUUUUUUGUUGUUGUUGUUAAAUAAAAUAAAAUGGUUCAGAGCAAUGG
rnacentral:lncRNA from 1 species